UCCACACACGUCAACACUCACUCCGAGCUCAGUGGCUCCAUCAACCCCCAAACCUGGGACCCCCUUGCCAGUCACCACAACGCAGCAUCCACACACGUCAACAUCCACUCCGAGCUCAGUGGCUCCAUCAACCCCCAAACCUGGGACCCCCUUGCCAGUCACCACAACGCAACCUCCACACACGUCAACACCCAC